UAUAUAUAUAUAUAUAAUUUGUAUAUUGUAACUUUUUUUGUAAUUAAUAUUGUCUUAUAUAAUGAACUUGUAUGCUUCUUUUAUUUAAGGCAUUUGAGUUGGAUACGACUAUUAAUCAACCACCUAUUUUUCAUGAGACACAAGAGAGUCAUCAUGGAAAUAUUAACUUGAAUGUGAGUAAUGAUAUUUUUUUAAAUUGUAAUGAUUAUUAUUUUUACUUUAUUGGUGAGCAUUUUUAAGGGUGCAUAUAUGUUUUCACAAGAGGGUAAUGAUUUAUGUUACCUUUCAUAGAUCAUAAAUUUCAGAUGUAUGAAUUUAAUUAACAUCGAUGGCUCUUUCUGUAACUUGUAGGAAUCCAUAUGGGGAGAUGAACUUCUAAAUCUUGGCGCGAUGUGGAAUUCUGGGUCAAUAGGUGAA
rnacentral:lncRNA from 1 species